rnacentral:rRNA from 1 species
UACAGAGGUCUCAAGCGUUGUUCGGAUUCAUUGGGCGUAAAGGGCGCGUAGGCUGCGGGGCAAGUCGGGUGUGAAAUCUCAGAGCUCAACUCUGAAAACUGCACUCGAUACUGCUUUGCUUGAGGACUGGAGAGGAGAUUGGAAUUCACGGUGUAGCAGUGAAAAUGCGUAGAUAUCGUGAGGAAGACCAGUGGCGAAGGCGGAUCUCUGGACAGUUCCUGACGCUGAGGCGCGAAGGCCCAGGGGGAGCAAAACGGGG